rfam:Schistosoma mattheei strain Denwood, Zambia genome assembly, scaffold: SMTD_contig0000659
GCACCGCUGAGUAGUCCCACAAUAGGACGAAACGGCUGUCCAGUAC